UGGUGGAGUGAUUUGUCUGGUUAAUUCCGAUAACGAACGAGACCCCAACCUGCUAACUAGACUGGCCUAGUUCACGCUAGGUCAGCGCUUCUUAGAGGGACAUUUCGGAUUUACCGGAAGGAAGUUUGGGGCGAUAACA
rnacentral:rRNA from 1 species